UAAAACUACUAGGGGAGCUUCUGGCUGAGAUGAUGUAAUUCAGACCCUUACGACCUGAUUUGGUUAGUACCAACGUAGGAAAGUAGUCUACUUGCGCU
rfam:Staphylococcus saprophyticus strain CNV2 Spades_7, whole genome shotgun sequence.